UACGUAGGGGGCAAGCGUUGUCCGGAUUUAUUGGGCGUAAAGCGCGCGCAGGCGGCCAGGUAGGUCGGUUGUGAAAACUGGAGGCUCAACCUUCAGAGGUCGACCGAAACCAUCUGGCUAGAGUCCGGGAGAGGAGAGUGGAAUUCCUGGUGUAGCGGUGAAAUGCGCAGAUAUCAGGAAGAACACCCGUGGCGAAAGCGGCUCUCUGGAACGGUACUGACGCUGAGACGCGAAAGCGUGGGGAGCGAACAGG
rnacentral:rRNA from 1 species